CACAAAUCUUAUGUAAUUGUAAAUCGACAACGGGUGAAAUUGUAUUUAUGCAAUGUAGAAAGCUAACAUCACUGAAGUGGAGAAGCAAGCAAGAUCUUAACAUGCUGUCUAUACAUGACGGCAGCUCUAUUGACAUUUGUCAAACAAAUGGAGAGGCAGGCAGACCUGUAAAAAAACAAGGUUGUUUUACAACCAUGCAAUUGGUGAGGUUUAUAGGGG